rnacentral:rRNA from 1 species
CUACGGGCGGCACCAGUGGGGAAUAUUGGACAAUGGGGGAAACCCUGAUCCAGCAAUGCCGCGUGUGUGAAGAAGGCCUGCGGGUUGUAAAGCACUUUCGGUUGGGAGGACUGCUUCUAGCACUAAUAUUGUUGGAAGUUGACGUUACCUUCAGAAGAAGCACCGGCUAACUCCGUGCCAGCAGCCGCGGUAAUACGGAGGGUGCAAGCGUUAAUCGGAAUUACUGGGCGGAAAGCGCGCGUAGGCGGCUAGAUCAGUCGGGUGUGAAAGCCCCGGGCUUAACCUGGGAACUGCAUCCGAUACUGUCUAGCUCGAGUACAGGAGAGGAGAGUGGAAUUCCACAUGUAGCGGUGAAAUGCGUAGAUAUGUGGAGGAACACCAAUGGCGAAGGCAGCUCUCUGGCCUGAUACUGACGCUGAGGUGCGAAAGCGUGAGGAGCAAACAGGAUUAGAUACCCUAGUAGUC